rnacentral:rRNA from 2 species
UCGAACGAAGUAGCAAUACUUAGUGGCAGACGGGUGAGUAACAUGUAGGUAUCUGCCCUUUGGCCUGGAAUAACACGAGGAAACUUGUGCUAAUACCGGAUAAGUCUUUACGGAGAAAGCUUUAUGCACCAUUGGAUGAGCCUGCACUUGAUUAGUUUGUUGGUGGGGUAAUGGCCUACCAAGACUGUGAUCAAUAGCUGAUUUGAGAGGAUGAUCAGCCACAUUGGGACUGAGACACGGCCCAAACUCCUACGGGAGGCAGCAGUGGGGAAUCUUGCACAAUGGAGGAAACUCUGAUGCAGCGAUGCCGCGUGAGUGAAGAAGGCCCUUGGGUUGUAAAGCUCUUUCGUCGGGGAAGAAAAUGACUGUACCCGAAUAAGAAGGUCCGGCUAACUUCGUGCCAGCAGCCGCGGUAAUACGAAGGGACCUAGCGUAGUUCGGAAUUACUGGGCUUAAAGAGUUCGUAGGUGGUUGAAAAAGUUAGUGGUGAAAUCCCAGAGCUUAACUCUGGAACUGCCAUUAAAACUUUUCAGCUAGAGUAUGAUAGAGGAAAGCAGAAUUUCUAGUGUAGAGGUGAAAUUCGUAGAUAUUAGAAAGAAUACCAAUUGCGAAGGCAGCUUUCUGGAUCAUUACUGACACUGAGGAACGAAAGCAUGGGUAGCGAAGAGGAUUAGAU